rnacentral:rRNA from 1 species
UACGGAGGGAGCUAGCGUUGUUCGGAAUUACUGGGCGUAAAGGGCGCGUAGGCGGCGUGGUAAGUCACUUGUGAAAUCUCCGAGCUUAACUCGGAACGGUCAAGUGAUACUGCUGUGCUAGAGUGCAGAAGGGGCAAUCGGAAUUCUUGGUGUAGCGGUGAAAUGCGUAGAUAUCAAGAGGAACACCUGAGGUGAAGACGGGUUGCUGGGCUGACACUGACGCUGAGGCGCGAAAGCUAGGGUAGCAAACGGG